rnacentral:rRNA from 1 species
UACGUAGGCAGCGAGCGUUGUUCGGAAUUACUGGGCGUAAAGAGUGUGUAGGCGGUGCUCUAAGUUCGGUGUGAAAUCUCCCGGCUUAACUGGGAGGGUGCGCCGGAAACUGGAGUGCUCGAGCGUGGGAGAGGAAAGCGGAAGUUCCUGGUGUAGCGGUGAAAUGCGUAGAUAUCGGGAAGAACACCCGUGGCGAAGGCGGCUCUCUGGGACGGUACUGACGCUGAGACGCGAAAGCGUGGGGAGCGAACAGG